rnacentral:rRNA from 1 species
AUUGAACGCUGGCGGCAUGCCUUACACAUGCAAGUCGAACGGCAGCACGGGGCAACCUGGUGGCGAGUGGCGAACGGGUGAGUAAUGUAUCGGAACGUACCUUUCAGUGGGGGAUAACGUAGCGAAAGCUACGCUAAUACCGCAUAUUCUGUGAGCAGGAAAGCAGGGGAUCUUAGGACCUUGCGCUGAUUGAGCGGCCGAUAUCAGAUUAGCUAGUUGGUGAGGUAAAGGCUCACCAAGGCGACGAUCUGUAGCGGGUCUGAGAGGAUGAUCCGCCACACUGGAACUGAGACACGGUCCAGACUCCUACGGGAGGCAGCAGUGGGGAAUUUUGGACAAUGGGCGCAAGCCUGAUCCAGCCAUGCCGCGUGAGUGAAGAAGGCCUUCGGGUUGUAAAGCUCUUUCAGCCGGGAAGAAAACGCAUGGGUUAAUACCCUGUGUGGAUGACGGUACCAGAAUAAGAAGCACCGGCUAACUACGUGCCAGCCGCCGCUGUAAGAC